UUGAGCCGUGUGCGUUGGAAGGCGCACGCACGGUCUCUGAGGGGACGGGGACACAGCAAUGUGUCCCCGUUACCCGGC
rnacentral:ncRNA from 1 species